CUGGAUAUCCAAGUCCAGAUUGUAUUAAUUUGAAGGGAUUGUAUCAUUAAGAAUAAUUAUAUCGCUGGAAGUACUGAAAACUUGAUACAAAAACAGAAAAACCUCGGGCCAAAUUAUAACUGGUUUCCCAUCAUACUGCCAUACUUUGGCCAGUGUAACGCUUGCUCUUGGGGGAAUUGUUGGGUUUUUGUAAAUUAUAGUGUGGUUUUACCCCCAAGUGUCCCGAGAUAACUUAUGUUAUGAUUUAACACUAUCAAUUUUAUUGAAUUAAUAAUUAAAAAGGUAUUAAAGUACAUUUUGUGUGGUACUAAAACAAUCUAAAAAAAAAAGUCUUAUGUUGAAUUAAAAAAACUGUGCAAGCUUCUGCAGUUUACUUGUAUGCAUUACAAUAUGCUGCAAGUGUUAACAAUACAAAUUCUAUAUUAUCCUCUGACUUUGAGUUCUGAGAAAAAAUACAAUUAAUUAAAAACAGUGAUUUUAUGCUGGAUCAUACUGAUGUAAUGAACUGACACUCAGAAGAUAGAGACGCUUCUCUAUUGAUGUGUACACUUUAACUGUAUCAUCCCUUAACACAAUAGUCCAUCAGAUACAAAAUGAGUUCCCCAAACAGAGAGGCCACCUGACCACACCUGAAGCAGGGAGGUUGAAUCAAACACUCCUGCAUGGGAACCGCCCCCUUCAGGUGCAAUCAAUCACACCAUUACAGACUAUAGAUUUACAGAC